rnacentral:tRNA from 1 species
UGGCGCAACGGUAGCGCGUCCGACUCCAGAUCGGAAGGUUGCGUGUUCAAAUCACGU